rnacentral:rRNA from 1 species
GACGAACGCUGGCGGCGUGCCUAAUACAUGCAAGUUGAGCGCUGAAGGUUGGUACUUGUACCGACUGGAUGAGCAGCGAACGGGUGAGUAACGCGUGGGGAAUCUGCCUUUGAGCGGGGGACAACAUUUGGAAACGAAUGCUAAUACCGCAUAAAAACUUUAAACACAAGUUUUAAGUUUGAAAGAUGCAAUUGCAUCACUCAAAGAUGAUCCCGCGUUGUAUUAGCUAGUUGGUGAGGUAAAGGCUCACCAAGGCGAUGAUACAUAGCCGACCUGAGAGGGUGAUCGGCCACAUUGGGACUGAGACACGGCCCAAACUCCUACGGGAGGCAGCAGUAGGGAAUCUUCGGCAAUGGACGAAAGUCUGACCGAGCAACGCCGCGUGAGUGAAGAGGGGUUUCGGAUCGUAAAACUCUGUUGGUAGAGAAGAACGUUGGUGAGAGUGGAAAGCUCAUCAAGUGACGGUAACUACCCAGAAAGGGACGGCUAACUACGUG